GUAAGUNUGAAGUUAAAGGCAUUGGCUCAANCAAUGUAUGCUUUGGAAACUGUUAGACUUGAGUGCAGAAGGGGAGAGUGGAAUUCCANGUGUAGCGGUGAAAUGCGUAGAUAUAUGGAGAAACACCGGUGGCGAAAGCGGCUCUCUGGUCUGUCACUGACGCUGAGGCUNGAAAGCGUGGGUAGCGAACAGGAUUAGAUACCCUGGUAGUNCACGCCGUAAACGCUGAGUGCUAGGUGUUAGGUCCUUUCCGGGACUUAGUGCCGACGCUAACGCAUUAAGCACUCCGCCUGGGGAGUACGACCGCAAGGUUGAAACUCAAAGGAAUUGACGGGGGCCCGCACAAGCGGUGGAGCAUGUGGUUUAAUUCGAAGCAACGCGAAGAACCUUACCAGGUCUUGACAUCCCGAUGCCCGCUCUAGAGAUAGAGUUUUUCUUCGGAACAUCGGAGACAGGUGGUGCAUGGUUGUCGUCAGCUCGUGUCGUGAGAUGUUGGGUUAAGUCCCGCAACGAGCGCAACCCUUAUUGUUAGUUGCCAUCAUUAAGUUGGGCACUCUAGCGAGACUGCCGGUAAUAAACCGGAGGAAGGUGGGGAUGACGUCAAAUCAUCAUGCCCCUUAUGACCUGGGCUACACACGUGCUACAAUGGUUGGUACAACGAGUCGCAAGCCGGUGACGGCAAGCUAAUCUCUGAAAGCCAAUCUCAGUUCGGAUUGUAGGCUGCAACUCGCCUACAUGAAGUCGGAAUCGCUAGUAAUCGCGGAUCAGCACGCCGCGGUGAAUACGUUCCCGGGCCUUGUACACACCGCCCGUCACACCACGAGAGUUUGUAACACCCAAAGUCGGUGAGGUAACCAUUUAUGGGGCCANUCGCCUAAGGUGGGA
rnacentral:rRNA from 1 species